GAUGAACGCUGGCGGCGUGCCUAAUACAUGCAAGUCGAGCGAACGGACGAGAAGCUUGCUUCUCUGAUGUUAGCGGCGGACGGGUGAGUAACACGUGGAUACCCUACCUAUAAGACUGGGAUAACUUCGGGAAACCGGAGCUAAUACCGGAUGAUAUUUUGAACCGCAUGGUUCAAAAGUGAAAGACGGUCUUGCUGUCACUUAUAGAUGGAUCCGCGCUGCAUUAGCUAGUUGGUAAGGUAACGGCUUACCAAGGCAACGAUGCAUAGCCGACCUGAGAGGGUGAUCGGCCACACUGGAACUGAGACACGGUCCAGACUCCUACGGGAGGCAGCAGUAGGGAAUCUUCCGCAAUGGGCGAAAGCCUGACGGAGCAACGCCGCGUGAGUGAUGAAGGUCUUCGGAUCGUAAAACUCUGUUAUUAGGGAAGAACAUAUGUGUAAGUAACUGUGCACAUCUUGACGGUACCUAAUCAGAAAGCCACGGCUAACUACGUG
rnacentral:rRNA from 1 species